CCUACGGGAGGCUGCAGUGGGGAAUAUUGGACAAUGGGCGAAAGCCUGAUCCAGCCAUGCCGCGUGUGUGAAGAAGGCCUUCGGGUUGUAAAGCACUUUCAGUGGGGAAGAAAGCCUUGGGGCUAAUACCCUCGAGGAAGGACAUCACCCACAGAAGAAGCACCGGCAAACUCCGUGCCAGCAGCCGCGGUAAUACGGAGGGUGCGAGCGUUAAUCGGAAUUACUGGGCGUAAAGCGCGCGUAGGCGGUCUGAUAAGCCGGUUGUGAAAGCCCCGGGCUCAACCUGGGAACGGCAUCCGGAACUGUCAGGCUAGAGUGCAGGAGAGGAAGGUAGAAUUCCCGGUGUAGCGGUGAAAUGCGUAGAGAUCGGGAGGAAUACCAGUGGCGAAGGCGGCCUUCUGGACUGACACUGACGCUGAGGUGCGAAAGCGUGGGUAGCAAACAGGAUUAGAUACCCGAGUAGUC
rnacentral:rRNA from 1 species